rnacentral:lncRNA from 1 species
GGCUGUCACACAGCCGUGUGAUGCACACGGGCAACCCACACAGACGUGUGCCCUGAGCGUGUUAGGUGCAGGGUUUACACAGGCUAGCACUUGGGCCGAGACACGAGCGUGUGAGCCAAGUCAAUGAGUUAUACGGGUAAACACACGAGUGGACACACGAGUGUGUGACCCCAUGUAGAUGAAAAUUUCCAGUUUUGUCUAAACAAUUCUGAUUUGUUUCGCUUUAGUCACUGAUUGUUCGUAAG